ensembl:lncRNA
CUCAAAGUCUGUAUCUUUAGUCCACUAAAUAGCAAGGAAACAAAAAAAACAAAAAACAGUUCUCCUCGCCCAAAAAACAAGCAAACCAAAAAGCCCCACCGCAAAUUCUCCAAUUCAGAAGCACUUCAGAGAUGACAUCCAAUCAACAAAUAAAACCUUGAAGGAAAGCUCUGUCAUGGUGAGAGUGCCACAGACGGGUGUCAAGACCUUUGAUGUUUCUGAAGUUGACAGGUGCCAUUCCAAGGUGUGUGGGAAGAACCUGAACUGGGUUGGCAAACUGCAGAUGACACUUGAGCUAAAAGGUGAUGACUGACAGGAGACAGAUGGGUGCUACAGUCUGUCACAGUUUCAAUCUGCAAGGAAUUUCUAGGGAAACGUUACAGGUAUUCAUGUGCACGUGGUAUAAAUGUCACGGCGGGGUGCGCCGGUGUGUGUGUGGAAACAGGACCCAAAAGCAGAUGACGAUGAGGAGUAGUAAGGUUUUAACAGAAGGUGAAGCUUUAUUGCGAUGCCGGCAGGAAAUAAACCAAGAGACCAAAACAAACAGGCAAAACACUAAGAAACAAAACACUAAGCUGGCAAAAACACUAAGAAACAAAAAACACUAAACUGGCAAGACACUAAGAAACAAAACACUAAAGGUACUAAGACCAAAAAACUAUAACUAUGACUGAGGUGAGAUUAAACAGACGAAAACUAUAACCAUGACUGCGGUGAUGUAAACAGACGAACCGACAAUGGCAUGGAGAAAACAAAAGGCUUAAAUACAGACAUGAGGUG